rnacentral:rRNA from 1 species
AGUACGCGGAAUGCGUGGUGUAGCGGUGAAAUGCAUAGAUAUCACGCAGAACUCCGAUUGCGAAGGCAGCGUACCGGCGCCCAACUGACGCUGAAGCACGAAGGCGUGGGUAUCGAACAGGAUUAGAUACCCUGGUAGUCCGCACAGUAAACGAUGGAUGCUAUCUGUCCGGGUCGAAUGAGGCCUGGGUGGCACAGCGAAAGCGUUAAGCAUCCCACCUGGGGAGUACGCCGGCAACGGUGAAACUCAAAGGAAUUGACGGGGGCCCGCACAAGCGGAGGAACAUGUGGUUUAAUUCGAUGAUACGCGAGGAACCUUACCCGGGCUCAAACGCCUGACGAACAGGGUCUGAAAGGGCCUUGGCCAGCAAUGGCGUCAGGCGAGGUGCUGCAUGGUUGUCGUCAGCUCGUGCCGUGAGGUGUCGGCUUAAGUGCCAUAACGAGCGCAACCCCCACCGGCAGUUGCUAACCGACGCAAGUCGGAGGACUCUGCCGGGACUGCCGGCGCAAGCUGCGAGGAAGGCGGGGAUGACGUCAAAUCAGCACGGCCCUUACGUCCGGGGCGACACACGUGUUACAAUGGCAGGUACAGCGGGAAGCCACCCGGCGACGGGGCGCGGAACCUGAAAACCUGUCUCAGUUCGGAUCGGAGUCUGCAACCCGACUCCGUGAAGCUGGAUUCGCUAGUAAUCGCGCAUCAGCCAUGGCGCGGUGAAUACGUUCCCGGGCCUUGUACACACCGCCCGUCAAGCCAUGGGAGCCGGGGGUGCCUGAAGGCCGUGACCGCGAGGAGCGGCCUAGGGUAAAACCGGUGACUGGGGCUAAGUCGUAACAAGGUAACCGUAA